rnacentral:rRNA from 1 species
AUUGAACGCUGGCGGCAGGCCUAACACAUGCAAGUCGAGCGGAGCGGCGGACGGGUGAGUAAUGCCUAGGAAUCUGCCUGGUAGUGGGGGAUAACGUCCGGAAACGGGCGCUAAUACCGCAUACUAUCAGAUGAGCCUAGGUCGGAUUAGCUAGUUGGUGGGGUAAAGGCCUACCAAGGCGAGGGUCAGUAACUGGUCUGAGAGUGUGAUCAGUCACGCGGGAACGGGUACCGGGUCCGGACUCCUCGGGGAGGCACCAGGGGGGAUAGUUGGACAAUGGGCGAAGUCCUGAUCCGUCAAUGCGGCGUGUAUGAAGAAGGGCUUCGGGUUUAAAGGCGUUUUAAGUCGGUGGGCGUUACCAACAGAAUAAGCACCGGCUAACUAGGUGCCAGCAGCCGCGGUAAUUC